UGAUCAGUACUAUGUUGGAUCAAAUAAUAGCAUACAGGGUGCCUGUGUUGAAAAUGUACUGGACUCUGUUGUUAUGUCGUUACGUCGUGAUCGGAAUAGGAAAUUUGUCUUUGCUGAAAUGGCAUUUUUCCAUCGGUGGUGGAUUAGGCAAAGCCCGGAAAUUCAAGCAGAAGUGAAAAAUCUUGUAGCUUCUGGCCAGCUGGAAUUCGUAAAUGGUGGUUGGUGUAUGCAUGAUGAAGCGACUACCCAUUAUAUAGAUAUGAUUGAUCAGACAACACUAGGCCAUCAACUGAUAAAGAAUGAAUUCAAUAUCACUCCUCGUGCAGGAUGGCAGAUCGAUCCAUUUGGGCACUCUGCCGUGCAAGCUUAUCUUCUUGGCGCAGAGGUAGGAUUUGAUUCUGUUCACUUUGCGCGCAUUGAUUAUCAAGACAGAGCAAAACGUAAGGAGGAUAAAGCUCUUGAGGUUAUAUGGCGUGGUUCGAGAACAUUUGGUUCUUCCUCCCAGAUAUUUACCAACGCAUUUCCUGUACAUUAUAGUCCACCACAUGGUUUUCAUUUCGAAGUGGAUGAUGCUGAUGAUUUUGUUCCAGUCCAGGAUGAUCCUCUUAUCUUUGACAUAAAUGUCGAUAUACGGGUUAAUGACUUCAUCAAUGCUGCAAUUACACAAGCAAACGUGACACGUACGAAUCACGUCAUGUGGACCAUGGGAGAUGACUUCCAAUACCAAUAUGCUGAAUCUUGGUUCAAG
rnacentral:misc_RNA from 1 species